CCUUUAUUACUUUUGUGGCAUUUAUUGCUGUUUUAUGUUUGGUUUUUUUGUUGCUAAUGCAUAUUGAGAGCUUCACUUUUUAUGGUUUUCGGAUUUUCUUAUAUGCGCUUUCGUUUCAACCGAAGUCGGCAGCAUUUGUGGUGGCAUCACAUUGAGUCGUCGGCUGCUUGUCGGUGGACAUGGGAAUUUGGCAUCGCAUAACAAAGAAAAUAUUUUUAUGGCAUACAUAUCGAUGUUUGCUUCUCAGGAUGACGUAAUAUUUUUCUUAAAUUCUCAAAGUGUUCUAUUACCCCAAACAAUACAUACAAGUAAACUUCUGGCGCAGAAAACUUAUGUCGCAAUUGUUAGAGAAGUUCAAUGCCUAGUGGCGCUAGAGAAAUGUGUAGAGCGCUUGCAAUGAAAAAAAAAAUGGUAAUUGGGCACCGUUAAUGAAACUACUCCGAGACAUUAUGAAAAUUUGUAAUUAUCGUCCU